rnacentral:rRNA from 1 species
UACAGAGGGGGCUAGCGUUGUUCGGAUUUAUUGGGCGUAAAGAGCGUGUAGGCGGCUUGACAGGUCUGCUGUGAAAACUCGAGGCUCAACCUCGAGAUGUCGGCGGAAACCGUCUGGCUAGAGUCCGGAAGAGGAGAGUGGAAUUCCUGGUGUAGCGGUGAAAUGCGCAGAUAUCGGGAGGAACACCAGUAGCGAAGGCGGCUCGCUGGGCCAUUCCUGACGCUGAGACGCGAAAGCUAGGGGAGCGAACAGG